GACGAACGCUGGCGGCGUGCUUAACACAUGCAAGUCGAACGGAAAGGCCCUGCUUUUGUGGGGUGCUCAAGUGGCGAACGGGUGAGUAACACGUGAGUAAACUGCCCUUGACUUUGGGAUAACUUCAGGAAACUGGGGCUAAUACCUGAUAGGAGCUCCUGCUGCAUGGUGGGGGUUGGAAAGUUUCGGCGGUUGGGGAUGGACUAGCGGCUUAUCAGCUUGUUGGUGGGGUAGUGGCUUACCAAGGCCUUGACGGGUAGCCGGCCUGAGAGGGUGACCGGCCACAUGGGGACUGAGAGACGGCCCAGACUCCUACGGGAGGCAGCAGUGGGGAAUAUUGCACAAUGGGCGGAAGCCUGAUGCAGCAACGCCGCGUGCGGGAUGACGGCCUUCGGGUUGUAAACCGCUUUCGCCUGUGACGAAGCGUGAGUGACGGUAAUGGGUAAAGAAGCACCGGCUAACUACGU
rnacentral:rRNA from 1 species